rnacentral:lncRNA from 1 species
CACACACUUAUGACCCAAAACUACAUUACUUGCCUUUUUAAAUAUUUUAAUUAGACUAAAAAAAAUCCAUAUAAAUAAUCAUUUUAUUACUUCCUCUCCCUUUCUCUUCCUGACUUUCAAAAAUCUAUAUUUCAUACUUUUAAAAUUUCAAAAAUAUUUUUAAAAAAUUAUGGUAUAAAUAAAAAGAGUGAAUAACCAAUUACCAAAUUAUCCUUACUUGUCCUGUAAAAAAAUAAAAUUUUUUAAUAUAUUUCUGUUAUUUUUAAAAAUAUUUCAAUAUAAAUUAUUGGAAAUGAACGGAAUUGAAAUGAAAUUCCGACGGAAGAGGGCUAAAUACAUCAACUUAAAAUUUAAAAAGAAUAAAAUAUAAAUUUUUAAAAGCUAAGAAGAAAAAAUAAAAUAGAGAAAAUAAUUUUUUUUUAUUUUUUACGCAUGGAAUGAUCAAAAUCGAUAUCCCACAAAACAAUUGUACGAAUACCUAAAAUUUUAUCCGAAUCUAAAUUUGAAUAAGAACAUAAUAAAUUUAUUCGAUGCUAAACGGAUAUGGUAUCGAAUAUUAAAAUAGAAAACGAAAACCCAGCUGAUUAAAAUUCGAAUAUAAAUUUUAUCUAUAUUGGACACCGACCUGGACCCAAGUCGAAUUGAUUUUACAUUAUAUAUAAUGUAUAUAUAUAAAUAUUUAUUAUUAUAUUUAAAUUUAUAUUUUAAAAUUUUAAAUUUAAUCCAAUAUGUUUCGAUAUAUAGUAAAGAGAAACAAUUGUUAUGGAAUUAAAUUUUCGGAUUUGGAUUCAGAUUCAGAUUUUAAAUUUUGAAUUUUUAGCUGAAUUCCGAUUUGGAUACGAAUUUUUAAAAUUCGUGGGAUUUGUGUUCGAGUUUCGGAUUUGUAGUGGGGUACGAAUUCGAUUUUGAAAAUUAGCCUCGAAUUUGAUCCGUCGA